rnacentral:rRNA from 1 species
GGUACUGCAGCCGGGAGGUUGUGGGAGAGUAGGUCGCCGCCGGAC